GGGGACAGUCUUAAACCAAUACAUAAUCCGUAUAGCUGUACACACUCUGAUUUUCCACUGUAGGGUGAUUCCAGUCCUUUACCCUGGAUUGCCAUCCAUUUUCUUACUUCUCAUAAAUAACGGUAAUUGCUCGCACUGCUUACUGAGAGGUUGCAGUUUGCCAGGGACUUGUUUAGCAGUCUUUUAGUUGGAUUAGCUCAUCUGGUCCCCCAGACACCCACUGAUGGACUGUCGCUGUGUGCGUCCUACAUGGGGAAACUGAGUCCCAGAAUGGCUGUCAUCGCCCGAGCAAACUGGAGCUAAAGUCAAAGCCGGGUGGCCUGACGCCUGCGCUGCGGCGCUUCUGGAGCCUGAGUCAGUUCAUGCGCUCUUCCUCUCCUACCGGACUUUUCAUUUUGUGCUGGGGUGUGGCCAGCUAGCAGUGCUGCGGCAGUCUCAGGCGAACAGCGAAGGGACCCCAGCCACACACACACGUGUCUGUUUCCAGACCCCUCCCAGCCAGGCUGCCGCACAGCACUGAGCAGAGCAGGCGCUUGUUGGCUGUCCAGGUUGAAUACAGGCGUCUGUGUGUGCGGAUCGCACACUUACCAGCUCGCCUUCCCCCCAUCCUUCCCCUUGGCAACCAUAAAUUCAUUCUGUGCUUUUUUGCUCAGUCAAUCAGCGUAUGUGCUGGUGCUGAGUAGCUUUCGUGACACCCAUGCCUGGCUGACUUGCUUACUCACUGGCUCAGGGCAGUGUAUAACAACAUGGGUCAGUCAGAGGCCCACAGCAGCCGUCCCGCGCCUUCCUGGGAGGUUCUGAGAAUGAGGUGUUCUCUUUCAACCGCAGUUUCCACACUGGGAUGAUUUAAGCCUGAAACUGGCUUCCUGACCUCAGGACAAUCAUUUCAGAACACCAUGGAGGCCCUGCCAUACGUCUACAUGAAUUGGCCACAG
ensembl:lncRNA